AUAAAAUAAUUCUUUAAAAAAAAAAAUACCUGCAUGGGCUGAUGGUCUCACAGGAGCUCAUUAGUGACUAAUCCUAAUGUUAGUUUAAAAGCAACUUUGCUUUUUAAAGCUUUACAAGUGUCCACCUAGAAGUUGCUUCUCUUUUCAUAUUGUUUCCUUUCCAGAAGAUCCACUAGAUAAAAGUCAUAGCAAAAAUCAUCAGUUGCACAGACUUAUUUUUUUUAUGCUCAAAGAAUUUAAAUUCCAACCCACUCACAGGUGGCAGAAAACUUUUUCUUUGCCACCUGUGACCCUUUUUCUCUGCAGUUUUCUCUACUCCUCUAGUAUUUAUGACGUUACAAGUAUUAACCAUCUUCUAUCAAUUUUAUUACCCUUCCAAGUAUAAUGUCUACAAAAUCUGAAGGUAUUUUUCUUUUUUUUUUGGUAGAGACAGAGUCUCACUUUAUGGCCCUCAAUAGAGUGCCGUGGCUUCACACAGCUCACAGCAACCUCCAACUUCUGGGCUUAAGUGAUUCUGUUGCCUCAGCCUCCCCAGUAGCUGGGACUACAGGCGCCUGCCACAAUGCCCGGCUAUUAUUUUUUGGUUGCAGUUUGGCCGGGGCCGGGUUUCAACCCACCACCCUUGGUAUAUGGGGCCGGCGCCCUACCGACUGAGCCACAGGCACUGCCCCCUGAAGGUAUUUUUCAAAAAUGACUUCCCUGGUGUGGCUCCCUGUCAUCCCAGGACUCCUCUGCCCCCAGGUCUGCCCUUAGGCGUGCAGCUCGCACAGCAGGUCCCCACAGAGCUGGGGGAGGAGGCAUCAUCAGUUCCUCUAUCCAUUACCUGCCCUGUGUUGGUUUCCUAGGGUGGCCACCACAAAUGGUCACACACUGGGUUGCUUAAAACAACAGAAAUUUAUUGUCUCUCAGUCUGGAAUUUAUAUCCACAAUAGAGUUACUGAUAGGCCAGGCCCUGCUCCUGCCCAGGCCUCUGGGGAGAACCCUUCCUCGCCUUCCUAUUUCUGGUGGCUGCUGGUGUUUUCAGGGCUUGUGGCUUGUAACUCUAGUCUCUGCUUCUGUCUUCACAUGACCUUCUUCUCCUCUUUUGUGUGUCUGUCAUUGGUUUUAGAGCCCACUAGGAUAAUCAAGAUGGUCUUAAGGUCUUCAAUCACAGCUGCAAAGACACUAUUUCCAAAUAAGUUCACACUCACAGGUUCCAGGUAGGCGUAUCUUUGGGGGCUUUGGUGGAAGGCUGGCCUUUAUCCAGUGGCUGCUGUGUGCCAGGCAUAUGCUCAGCACUCAGUGUGCGCUUUAGCCGGCGCGGGAGGGGCUGUGCUUGUUUUUAGGAGAUGAGGCCUUAGGGAGUUGCUUGGAGCUGACUGCACAUAGGGUUUGGACUUCUUAAUCACUCUUUCCUGCUUCCUGGCACCGAAGCCUGUACCUAGAGCUCUGGGUAUGCAGGACACCCCACCACCACCACCACCCCGUCUAUGAGGGAGCAGGAAUAAGGCAGAGUGCGGGCAGGACUAUUAAAGCCCUUUCCAGCCACAGUUGUCCUGUGGUUGCCUCUGCCUCCUACAGCAGCAGGUCUGCUCUUGGAGAAAAUGAAGAAGCCCUUCAGGACUGCAGCUCCUGCCUCAUGCUGUGGUUUGAAUGUGACCCUUCCACGAUUCAGGUGCUGCCAAUGAGACAGUGCUAAGAGAUAAGGCCUGUAAGAGGUGAUUCGGCCACCAGGGCUCCUCCUUCGUGAAUGGGACCAGGUGCCCUUGCCCAGGGGCCCAGUGGAGGAGCUUGCUCCUCUCUGCCCCUUCUGCUUUUCACCAUGUGGAGAUGCAGCAGGAAGGGAAGGCCCACACCAGACGCCAGGCCCAACUCUUGGACUUCCCAGCCUCCAGGACUGUGGGAAAAUAAGUUUUUGUUCUCUGUAAAUUACCCGUUCUCACGUGUUCUGUUACAGCCAUACAAAUGAACUAAGAUACCCCACCCAGCUGUGGACCUACCCUAAGAUACCAAGCCAGGAAGAGGGGGGUGGUAGGGCUGGGAGCAGCCCCUAGGCCCCAUGGAGUAGUGCAGAAGGAGAAAAGGCCACAUGGGGAGGGAGAACCCCUGGCCAGACCCCAGUCCCACCAGCUGCUCCAGUGACCGUUCUGUGCUGGCUCCAAACUCACCAGCCGCCAAAUUUGAAAGGCAGCGUAAUGUGGCAAGGCCACCCCAGCAUUCUGUAGUGGAGGAAAGCCCAGGUCACGCUGCUGCCCUUCACAUUCUCUGAAGAGGACGGAUGCCCCCCAUGAGUGAGCCCUCACAAGUAAGGGAGGGGCCCUUGCAUUUUACUUCUCCUAGGCCACAGUGGGGCUUUCCAAUCCACUGGUUCUCAAAGGGCGCUUCCCUGCACCAGCAGCAUCAGCGUCAUCAGGGAACCAGCCUGGGGCUAAGUCUUGGGCCACACCCCAGAAACUCAGAUCUACUGAGUCAGAAACUCUGGGGAUGGGCCUAGCAAUCAGAGUGUGGUUUUGUUUGGGGUUUUUUUGUUUCUUUGUUUUGAGACAGGGUCCCCAGGCUGGUCUCAAACUCCUGAACUCCAGUGAUCUUCCUGCCUCAGCCUCCCACGUAGCUGGGACCGCAGAUACAAGCCACCACACCUGGCUUCACAUCUCCUGUGGAUGAUUCCAAAGCCUGUCUAAUAGAGGGCUCUGCCUGGUUUUGUUUAAUCACUCAGAGCCAGUGGUUCUUGAACUUAGCAGCACAUUGGAAUCACCUGGAAAGGUUUUUUUUUGCAAUUUUUGGCUGGGGCUGGGUUUGAACCUGCCACCUCUGGCAUACGAGGCUGGUGCCCUACUUCUUUGAGCCACAGGCGCCACCCAUCACCUGGAAAGCUUUAACAAUAUAGAGGCGUGUAAGAGGGUUUGGACUUCUCAAUCACUCUUCUCUGCUUCCUGGCACCAACGCCUGUGCCUUGACUUCUGUGUACCCAGGGCACCCAGAUCAAUUACAUCGGAGGGUUUUACGGCUCUCCAGGUGACUUCAACCUCCAGCCAAGACACACACGUAAGGCUUCUGGAAAGCUAUAACAGGCGUGGACCGGGUUCAAACCCACCAGCCCUGCAGCAUGCGGCCAGCACCCUAACCACUGAACUACGGGCACCCAGCCACAUGCUGUGCUGCUGACAGAGUUGCAGGUUCUCCACACCGACUUCCCGAAACAGCGGAGCACUGCCGCCCACCACACGCUGGACUUGUGGCUGAGCAAUGCUGUGCUCCACCCAGGGCAGGUGUCUCACCUGUGGCUGCUCUGGUGACAAAUGUGGACCCACAGGUACGCACAGGUUGGUGCAUCCUGGUGAGGCCAUCCAGUCGUAAAUAGAAUGCACUGCAAUGAAAACUGGACCCAGGACAUUCAUCAUCAAGUUUAGUUCCAAUCAAGUGAAGAUUUGUGCUCAGAGGAUUAUUCUCACCGACUGGUUUCUGCCUGAUGCUGUGCACCCAGCUGCUGGAGCCGCUGGUUGAGCAUUUCAGCAUUUCCUGUUCUGCAUGUAGGUUCAGAUCAUGGGUGGUUAGAUUUGAUUGUUCAUAUGAGGGCAGAGUGAAGAGCCAGCAGGUGAAAGGUAAGGAGUUCAAAGGCAAGUACAAACCACAGGCAGCCCGACCCAGGAGGCCAGGUCCUGUGCUAUCACAGAAUCACUUUUACAUCUGGAAAAACACAGCCUACGCCACAUGAUCCUCAACCCCCAACCCCUUCCUGACUCAUGGCCUCAAAAAGCAGGGCCACCAUUGUCUAGAUUCAAAUCCACAGACAUACAAAUUUACAGAUUCUCUCCUUGGAGCGGCUGGCUACAGGAAGCCCAGGGCUGUCACCUGAUGGGGCCCUGUGAGAACUGCCAUCUCUUGAGGCCAUGGGCUUACCAGCCCUGAGGGCAUCUGCCAAUCAGACUAUCAUCUCAGCAUAGGGUUGGGCCUGCUGCAAGUGUAUUCUCCCUCUGUCUCCUGCCUGAAAUCCCAGGGGUGCCUCUUCUGGUGCUCCUUGCCCACUCUCCUUGGCUACCUAUGGGGGACCUACUCUUGAGGAACAACAGGUGGACUGGUGGCCUUCCCUGUGACAUCUGCAUACACUGAUCCCAUGGCUGGUCCUGCCCACUGAGCAAGAAGCAGGACUGAGAGCCAUCUGACAUUGGGUUGGCCUUUGUCUCCUACAACUUAAUGUAGCUUGAAACAAUGGCACCAUAAGCCCACUCCAUGGCCCCUGUGCGUCCCCAGGUCUAGGUGAGCCUUCAAGGCAGUUCAGUAGGGAUUCAGUCUCCCAAGUAUGAGAUCUGUAGGCACUGUCAGAUAGUGGGUGACCCAGCAGCCCCUCUGACCUGCCAGCAAUGGUGUUGCUGAGUUAAGAUCUGAGGCUUCAAUGAGAACAAUGAAGAGAGGAAAAGAGGAGGUGGGGCCGCAGCCGUCCUGGUGAGGGUAGCUCACCACCACAGGGAUGCCCCAGCGCCACCACUCCAUACUGGCCUUGAAACUUCUCCACUUGGGUCCCAGCAGACAUUUCACUCUCACUCUCCAAUACCAGAAACAUCCCCGCUCCUCCAGGCAGCAUUCAGAACACGUGUCCCACCCCCAGGCUCCACGGGCCAUCUCUUCCCUUUGAGGGAGGGGCUCUACUUGAGAACCAUCUUGGAUAUGGGCCUCGGGCCAGUUUGUGAAUUUGCUGAACCUUUGUUUCAAUCCUUCCCUCAAUUUCAGCUUGCUCACUGCCAAGGAGUAAAAUCUACCCCAGCAGCCUCACCUUCAGCCCACCAUUACCUAGUAGUGAUGCUGGCUGCUUUUGGCCCUGUGGGCCUCUACCUUAGGGUGGGGGGCGGUCAGGCCAGCCAUAGACUGACUUUGGCCAGUCAAGGAGAAGGGUUUAAACAAAGGUCCUCCUUCCUGACCUUUGGGGUACAGAAGAUAACCUUGAGGGGUGCACCCUGGAAGCCUCUAGCCUUGGCCACCGCCUCAUCUCACCAGUACAGGUGAACCCCAAUGAGGCCUUGCAGGAGACCUUCCCGGCCAGGUGACAGACCCUCCCUCUCCUGAGGCUCCACUCUCGCUGGGGCAGGUGCCUAGAGCUGACCAGCAGGCAGGUCCUGAGCAGGUGGAGAGGCCCCACUGUCUGCCUCCCCUUCCUGUGAGUAGGGGGUCUAUGCCAGGGGUAUGUCAACCUGGGGAAGAGCCUCCUUGAGCAACAGAAAGCUCUUCUUUGUUAAUUGAAGCCCAUUCUUUGGUUCUGCCCUCCAGAAAUUUGCUCACAUGAUCAAUAUGCUUUUAAUUAA